UUUCCGUAGGUGAACCUGCGGAAGGAUCAUUAAAUAGUACCACAGAUUACAUAUGCAAAUAUGACAAUCUACUACUAUAUACCAUUCCGAUUACUCUUUUUCCAUGUUGCUUCCUCGAGUCAGUCACUUCAAGUGGCCGUUUGCUCCGGAUCUCCCUUCUUGGAGCGCCGGCUGUUGGCGAUAUUUCCUUGCUAAUGUUCAAUUACAAAUCCAAUCAUGUUUUUAUUUUGUGUCUGAAUAGUUUUUUUUUUUCUUUCUUUUUUUAAUUAAUAAAUACAAAAGUGCAAAGCUAAAGUAAUAUGCGGAUCCGGGUACUCUUUUUCCAGGUUGCUUACGAGAGGUAGUAACUUCAAGUGGCCGUUUGAACCGGAGCUCCAAUAUUGGAGAGCCGGGUGUGAGUGAGAUUUCCUUGCGAAAGGUCAAUUACAAAUCAAAUUAUGUUUAUAUUUUGUGUCUGAAUAGAGUUUUUUUUACUUUCUUAUUUUAAUUAAUAAAUACAAAAAAAAUAAAAUAAAAUACAAAACUUUCAACAACGGAUCUCUUGGUUCUC
rnacentral:misc_RNA from 1 species